CACCAGCCCCUMGAGUGGUGGGGACUAUUAUUUGGCCUAAAGCGUCCGUAGCUGGCUGUAUCCGUCUYCCGGUAAAUCCGGCGUCUCAAGCGUCGGAUUGCGGGUGAUACCMUWCAGCUUGAGGGUGGGAUAGGUUAGCGGUAUUUCUGGGGUAGGGGCGAAAUCCUUUGAUCCCRGGAGGACCACCAGUGGCGAAGGCUGCUSACUAGAACACGCCUGACGGUCAGGGACGAAAGCUGGGGBAGCGAACCGGAUUAGAUACCCGGGUAGUCCCAGCUGUAAACGAUGCUMGCUAGGUGUUGGGUCGGCCACGCGCCGCCCCAGUGCCGCAGGGAAGCCGUUAAGCUCGCCGCCUGGGGAGUACGGCCGCAAGGCUGAAACUUAA
rnacentral:rRNA from 1 species